rnacentral:rRNA from 1 species
UGGGGAAUAUUGCACAAUGGGCGAAAGCCUGAUGCAGCAACGCCGCGUGAGUGAUGAAGGCCUUCGGGUUGUAAAGCUCUGUCUUUUGGGACGAUAAUGACGGUACCAAAGGAGGAAGCCACGGCUAACUACGUGCCAGCAGCCGCGGUAAUACGUAGGUGGCAAGCGUUGUCCGGAUUUACUGGGCGUAAAGGAUGCGUAGGCGGAUUUUUAAGUGAGAUGUGAAAACCCUAAGCUUAACUUGGGGACUGCAUUUCAUACUGGAAAUCUAGAGUGCGGGAGAGGAGAAUGGAAUUCCUAGUGUAGCGGUGAAAUGCGUAGAGAUUAGGAAGAACACCAGUGGCGAAGGCGAUUCUCUGGACCGUAACUGACGCUGAGGCAUGAAAGCGUGGGUAGCAAACAGGAUUAGAUACCCUGGUAGUCCACGCCGUAAACGAUGAGUACUAGGUGUGGGAGGUAUCGACCCCUUCUGUGCCGCAGUUAACACAAUAAGUACUCCGCCUGGGAAGUACGAUCGCAAGAUUAAAACUCAAAUGAAUUGACGGGGUCAUAGCUGUUUUCCU